rnacentral:rRNA from 1 species
GACGAACCGUGCGAACGUUAUUCGGAAUCACUGGGCUUAAAGGGCGCGUAGGCGGGCAACCAAGUCAGGGGUGAAAGCCCACGGCUCAACCGUGGAAGUGCCUUUGAUACUGGUCGUCUCGAGGGAGGUAGGGGCGUGCGGAACUUCCGGUGGAGCGGUGAAAUGCGUAGAUAUCGGAAGGAACACCGGUGGCGAAAGCGGCGCGCUGGACCUCUUCUGACGCUGAGGCGCGAAAGCCAGGGGAGCAAACGGG